rnacentral:pre_miRNA from 1 species
AUAGUACUCCCUCUGUCCGGAAUUACUUGUCAUCAAAAUGGAUGUAUCUAGAACUAAAAUACAUCUAGAUACAUCCAUUUCAAUGACAAGUAUUUCUGGACGGAGGGAGUACCAU